rnacentral:misc_RNA from 1 species
GUCGUAACAAGGUUUCCGUAGGUGAACCUGCGGAAGGAUCAUUACCACACCUCUUUUACCUAGUGAUAAGUUGAACUCCUUAUGGAUGAAAACAAGUCCUAGGCUAAAAACAAAGGAAGGUGAAGGUACUUGGUAACACAAGUAUUGGAUCUGACUUUUGCGUCCCGUGUAACUUUUUAUCUAUUGUGGUGUCUUCGGAUGCCCAACUUAUAAAACAAAUAACAUUUCAAAUGUUGACCUGAUUAUAAUUUACCAAUAAUUAGAAGUUUGUUGUGUUUACUCACUCAAAUGACUAUAAAAAUUAAUGAUAAAAACACUUUCAGCAACGGAUGUCUUGGCUCCCAU